UCCCCUACCCGUGUCGCAGAUGCACACUAUCCUCUUCUCCUCCCUCCCGUCAGCAACCUGCCUCCACUCCGCGAGGCAGAUCGAUCGAGAACCAUGGCCGGGGUCGCCACCGUGCCUCGCCGCGCAGCGCAUCGGGUAUCCACCUCCCCUCCCCCAUCUUCCUCCUUCAAAUUUUGGCAGCAACGACCGUGAGUGUGGCUGCUCCUCGUCUGUGCUCCGGCAGACGUCCCCUACCCACCCCCCUCCGCUGACAGUGGCCAGAACGAGGUGGGUUCAACCGGCAGAGCCCCGGGCGAGAUCGCGUGCGAGUGGACGGAGCAGGCGCUCAUGGUCGUGGUGAACCAUGGGCGCAGUCGGAGCAGAGAGUCGGGGCGUCGGAGAUGAGGAGAACGGCGUAGGUACAGGUGGAUGUCAGCAACCUGCCCCCUACGACGGCGGACAAGGAGGAGGUCGGGGGUUACAGGUACAGGUGGAUGUCAGCAACCUGCCCCCUACGACGUCGAUGGUACUUUGAUGUUAGAAGGGAUACUUGCCCCUUUGGCGGAUGAUGUUUUUACAAGCAUGCCUACACCGAUGGGCAUUUGGAGGAGCCGGCAACGGUGGCAGUGCUUCAUUUUCAUGCCGACAAUGGAAGUAUGGACCAGCAAGAAAUAUCGAGUUGGUACUCUCUAUUAGUCUCCUCUAUAUAAUGUAUAACCUCUGCUUGCUUCUCAUAGAACAUUCUGAUGUAUAAACCUCUGCUUGCUCUCUGAUAGAAAAUUCCGUUCGAACAUGC